AGAAAAUGAAUGAGUGAGAAGUCUUAACCUCAACACCUGAGUCUAUAUAGGUUUGCAUGCUGUGGGCUGAAGGUUGCUUUGACUGCAUGAGGUUGUUAGCUUGUGUCUGAAUGCUGGAGCUCCUCAAUGAAGAGUUGAGAAAGGCAGAGAGAAAAAGAAGCAGUGUUUCCGCUCCUGGGAAUCUACUGAAAUGUGGAAGGGCAUAGCUGAUUGGCAAUGAAGUGUGUAUACGCAUGAGGCAGGUGUGUGAGCUUCACAACAUCCACCUGCAUUUUA